GCCUGUAUUGGAACAGUCGUUCAACGCCUCCUUCCAGGAGGUGCAGUGGGUCGUACUAGCCUAUCUGCUGGCC
rnacentral:tRNA from 1 species